GACUUUGUGUUUUGGUGGGGUGGUGGACACUGGGUCCCCUAGGAGCCUCCCCAGGCUUAAUGAUUGUCCAGAAGGUGGCUAUAAAGGGAGCUUGGGAGGCAGGGUGGAGGAGGGAGCAGAAAAAACCCAACUCAGCAGAUCUGGAAACUGUGAGAGCGGCAAGCAGGAGCUGUGGUCAGAGGCUGUGCGUCUUGGCUGGUAGGGCCUGCUCUUUUCUACCAUGGCAGCCCAGGGCUAUGGCUAUUAUCGCACUGUGAUCUUCUCAGCCAUGUUUGGGGGCUACAGCCUGUAUUACUUCAAUCGCAAGACCUUCUCCUUUGUCAUGCCAUCAUUGGUGGAAGAGAUCCCUUUGGACAAGGAUGAUUUGGGGCUCAUCACCAGCAGCCAGUCGGCAGCUUAUGCUAUCAGCAAGUUUGUCAGUGGGGUGCUGUCUGACCAGAUGAGUGCUCGCUGGCUCUUCUCUUCUGGGCUGCUCCUGGUUGGCCUGGUCAACAUAUUCUUUUCCUGGAGCUCCACAGUACCUGUCUUUGCUGCCCUCUGGUUCCUUAAUGGCC
rnacentral:sRNA from 1 species